GGGGGGCCACCAGGUGGCGCGUUGGAAGAUGGCCGACAAUAACAUCUCUCUGACCCAUACGAGGUACUAAGGGGCUACUAUGGGAAGUAUGUAGCCUUCCUGAACUCCUCCAGGAUGUGGAGGAGAACUGCCCUGCCAGCGGUGUUCACAAUGCACCCCUGAAACGAGUGAUGGGGUGCCGAACACUUGGCAAAAGGCCCUCGGUGAAGUCAGACCUUCCUGACGCCGAUUCCAAUUAGCGCGUGCUGGUUGCUUCAGCUGGAAUUAUAAUUGGAAACAUACGAUUGGAAACGAAGCUGAAAGCACAUACAUCAAGUAAAGCUCGAAGAUAAGACUGCUGAUUAAUGGAUCUCUGCGACCAGGAGUGACGGAUGGAUAAGUAAAUCUUCUGAUGAAUCACCAUAAGGAGACUGUAUGUUUGGAACGAAGGGGGGGUGGAGGAAAAAACUCUUUUUUUCUUUGCAUGAUGUGACAUUAAUAACCCUUCACCCCAGAUAGAAACAAGAUUGUCGCGUUUCUAUGAAUCACAGGCAGGAUUUUAAGAACUAUGUGGGACGGAAAGAAGACUGCAGAACGGUGAGAAAGGAAGAAAUUUUUUAUGACGCAGUUAAAAAAUGGCGUCUCGCCAUGAUAGGUUUACCGAGGAAGAAGGACUGGGGGAGGAGAAUCAGGAUUGUUUGAAAGAGAAGGAAUGUUGGAAUGUAAGUCUGACCUGACAGAACCCCCAGACUCAUUUGUUAUUUGGUAAGCCUGAGAAAAAUAAAGGACAGAUCGGAGAUUAACUUUGUUUAUGGAAGCGUUGUACAGAGGCUGUCCCGGAUCGAUAUGAUUUUUGGAAAAGUACAAAAUCCACAUAGAAUGCCAGCUGUUAUCCUGCUUGUGAAAAUCAUCAGAGAU